CGUGCGGACCACGGGGCGGGGGGCGGGGGGGCGGCUCCCGCCCCCACCCGCCAUCUGGCCUUCCCGCCGCCAUGGCCGGCGUUCGCGCCGGUGCGCAGAUGCCGCAUCUGAGCAAGAUGGAGCGGGUGGUCGUGAGUAUGCAGGACCCCGACCAGGGCGUGAAGAUGCGGAGCCAGCGCCUGCUCAUCACCGUCAUUCCGCACAUGGUGGCUGGCAGCGACCUCGUGGAGUGGUUGAUCCAGAAGUACUGCAUCUCAGAGGAGGAGGCCCUGCACCUGGGCACUCUCCUGGUGCAGCACGGCUACCUGUACCCGCUGCGAGACCCCCGCUGUCUUGUGCUCCGGCCAGACGACACACCCUACAGAUUUCAGACGCCCUAUUUCUGGACGAGCACGCUGUGGCCAGCUACUGAGCUGGACUAUGCCAUCUACCUGGCGAAGAAGAACAUCCGAAAGCAGGGGGCCCUGGUCGGCCACGAGAAGGUGGGACGCUCCCCUAGGCUGAGGCCAGCCAGAGGAACCCAAGCCCUGCUCUUGACCCCGGGGCCUCAGUUUGCCCUGGAGCACACACACAGCCCAGGCCCCAGGAUGGUGCAGACACAAACACGGGAUCCCUAUAUGUCUCAGUGGGGAUGUGGGUGGUCCCUAACCCAGAGCUGGACAGGAGAGGGGUUGCCCAGGGUAGACCUCAACACCCUCCAGGAACACUAUGGCCAGCUGCACAGGAAGAUCAACCACGCAUGGGACCUGGUGGUGAUGCAAGCGAGAGAGCAGCUUCGGGCAGCUAAGCAGCGCAGGAAGGGGGACAGGCUGGUCAUGGCGUGCCAGGAGCAGACGUACUGGCUGGUGAAUAGGCCUCCGCCAGGGGUCCCCAGCGUCCUGGAGCAGGGUCCAGAGCGCAGUUCCUGCACUGCCGGGCAAGCGCAGAUGUCCCCACAGGGCCUGCCUUCUAAUUGCAGCCCGCCCGGCCCUUUCCAGACCAAGAAUAUAGAUUUCUACAAGCGGGAGAUGGAGCUGUGCAGAAAAGCCCUGGGCAGGGCCCGGGUGAAGUCCUCUGUCUGCCUUGAGGCGUACCUAAAGUUCAGCAGCCAACGUGAGCUGCAUGAUCCCAUCAUGUCAGGGUGCCUGCCUGGCAACCCCUGGGUCACAGACGAUGACACCUACUGGACCAUGAACGCACCCAGCGUGGCUGUGCCCACGAAGCUCCGCGUGGAGCGAUGGGGCUUCAGCUUCCAGGAGCUCUUGGAAGACCCUGUGGGACGGGCGCAUUUCAUGGCCUUUCUCGGGACAGAGUUCAGCGCUGAGAACCUGAGCUUCUGGGAGGCAUGCGAGGAGCUGCGCCACGGAGGGCAGGCCCAGGUCCGCGCCAUGGUGGACGCCGUGUACCAGCAGUUCCUGGCCCCUGGCGCUGCCCGGUGGGUCAACAUCGACAGCCGGACGAUGGAGCGGACCCUGGAGGGUCUGCACCAGCCCCACCGCUACGUGCUGGAUGACGCCCAGCUGCACAUCUACAUGCUGAUGAAGAAGGACUCCUACCCGAGGUUCCUGAAGUCUGCCGCCUACAAAGACCUGCUGGCCGAAGCCGUGAUUCCCCCAGAAGCCAAGAAACGAACAUCUGAAGGCCAAUCCUGACCCUCCCGCCUGGAUGGACAGGGCUUGACCUCGACACUUCCCAAGCGCCUCAGGACCCCUGACUACCGCUGGGAUCACAGGUGGACCCCUGGCCUCCAUGAAGGCGCCUGCGCACAGAAGGCAGAGAAGGAAGGUGCGUGCUUAUGGCUGGACCCACAGAAGCCCAGCUCCGACAGAACAGCUUCUUUCUUACCCAGAUGGAUGCAGCAAACGCGCAAAUCCACACAAUGGAAUAGUCUUCGGCGGUAAAAAGCAAUCAGCACCGACGCCUGUGGCGACAUGGAUGAACCUUGGAAACAUCGAGGCUCCGUGAGGUGCCCAGACUCCAGACUCGGCGCGUGUGGCAAAGGAAGAUACGUGUAGUUCUACAGCCUAACUCGCUUACAGAGGUUCCCCAAAACACGCAGAGCACAAAGCAAAUGCCGGAGUUCGUAAGGGUCAUGAAAGCCCAACAACAUAGUGACAAUGUAAGUGCCCAAAGGACGCGAGAUUUCGCUGCUGAGUAUCCUGCAUCCUCUACCCAGCACACGAAGGCUUGCUUCAGAAAGGAGGUGUGGAAAAGAAAAGAAAGAAAGAGUGUGUGCACUCUGGAAGAUUAAAAUCAGGCAUAAGCCAAUAGCCAAAAGGUUUCUCAAUCCCAGUGUAAUCCUAACAUGACGUAUGGGUGGGGUCCCAGAGUGAGUACUUUGCACAUUCCUAUGACUUCUGUACACUUCUCAGUCUUUCUUGUGCAGAAGGAGAAAACUUUCAAAGGAAAGAACAUAAUGUUUCUCGAUGCAGUCUUACCCCAACCGGACGCCCCGCCUGGUUUUCAGCCUCGUCUUACUGCAUACCUGCACCCUUCCCUGACACAGCCGUGCCUUCAGCCCUCCGCCACCUGGAGAACCUGCAGGGCGAACAGAGAUCUGGUGGAGGAUCCGGGAAUACGAUACAAGAUUCUUCUCUGCUGGAAGCAGAGAAGCUUCCGGACUCCGCAGCGCGUGUACUCACUCUGGCCUGCCUUUAGGAGCAGGGUCAGCAGAGAAGUCUCAAAGCACCGGCAGGCAGUGCCGGGCGGGGUCUGCGUGUCACCUGUGGAGCGCCGAGGACAACGCUGGAGCCGAGAGGCCCACUUAGAAGGACAAACCUCCUCCCUCCCAGCUCGGAGUCUGGGGCACUGUGGGACACCUGGUCACGACCUAAGUAGGAGAAGUGGCUCAAAGUGCCACCCUGAUCGGAACAGACUGAAAAAUAAAGCGCCCAAGAUUUCUCCCCAAACUGUGUAUGUCUAUGAACUCCAGGUUUUUUUCCCUUUUUCAAAAUGCAACCUCUGUUGUUAAAUUCCGCAUAAAGAGAGAAUAAGAGGGGUGCCUGGGUGGUCAGUCAUUUGAGUGUCCAACUCUUGAUUUCGGCUCAGGUCAUGA